GAGUCUGUAGCUCAGCUGGAUAGAGCAACGGCCUUCUAAGCCGUAGGUCUGGGGUUCGAAUCCCCACAGGCUCG
rnacentral:tRNA from 1 species